rnacentral:rRNA from 1 species
GACGAACGCUGGCGGCGUGCUUAACACAUGCAAGUCGAACGGAAAGGCCCUGCUUUUGUUGGUUGCUCGAGUGGCGAACGGGUGAGUAACACGUGAGUAACCUGCCCUUGACUUUGGGAUAACUUCAGGAAACUGGGGCUAAUACCGGAUAGGAGCUCCUGCUGCAUGGUGGGGGUUGGAAAGUUUCGGCGGUUGGGGAUGGACUCGCGGCUUAUCAGCUUGUUGGUGGGGUAGUGGCUUACCAAGGCUUUGACGGGUAGCCGGCCUGAGAGGGUGACCGGCCACAUUGGGACUGAGAUACGGCGCAGAAUCCUACGGGAGGCAGCAGUGGGGAAUAUUGCACAAUGGGCGGAAGCCUGAUGCAGAAACGCCGCGUGCGGGAUGACGGCCUUCGGGUUGUAAACAGCUUUCGACUGUGACGAAGAGUGAGUGACGGUAAUGGGUAAAGAAGCACCGGCUAACUACGUG